AUGCGCUAUUGCGUUGAGGCCUUGUGGGUUCUCCCACGAGUUGCUGCUUGAGCCAUUGGUUCUCCUGGAAAAGCUUUGGUCCUCACAUUGAGCAUUGCUUGCUGGCUCUAGAGGGAAAGACAUGUGCUGCUUGGUCUCCAGGAUAAACUUGUCAAGCUGGCUUCCUCGCAGGACCAAGAUAUCAUGCUAAUGCCCAAGACCAUAGAAGAAGUAUGAUAUAAAGGCCUUUGUAGCUCAGCAGCAAAGAGACCAGGAUCAGAUGUGCAAACCCACCAGAGAGUGAGGUCUCUGGAACUCACCAACUCACCCUAAAACUUCUAUUACCAGCUUUUCUCAGCUCGUAGAUGUUUGAACGAAUAUGAAGAAAUAAGUUCUGGCAAGCAAUAACUUGAAACUGCAGCUGUUUCCGCUGUUUGGAGAAAAAAAGAAAACAGUUACUGGGGCUGCUUCUGACACUUUUGCUCACAGGCUACCAAAGACAGGAAGGCAUUUUCAUGGGCUACAACAAAAUCAGGCAAGAAAUGACUAGGAAAGCGUGAAUCCGUCUGGCCUUUGAAAAGAAAUUAAGAUUUCUCAGUGGAUUCACCUGAACUGCCUUAGAGCAACACCACACCCACUCCAUCUGCUUUCAGGCUGAGCCUGAUUAUAUUUAUGUUAUCUUCUACCUUUGAUCAAGGAUUGUGUUUACUCUGUGCUGUGCAAGUACUUUCCGGGACUAGAAAUUUGGAGAGAAGGGCUGUCAUGUUCAGUGUUAAGAAAAAACACCCACUCAUCUGAUAAUGAGGCUGGACAGGACCUGCGGUUGGGCUGGCUGAGCUGAAGACAGAACUCUGGGGAACCCAGGGCACUGGGUGUGGAGAAUGUGUUGCCCAUAUUCCCAUGGCCCUCAACAGUGCGGUACAGGCUGGCUGAUUUCCAGCUGUCAGCCUCUGCAUCUCCUUCCUUGAUGCUUUCUUUAGAAGCUGUGCCUGGUCUGCCAGUGCAUAUUCAUGCUUCUCACAGAGGCCCUCAACAUAAGUGAUGGGGGUGAAUGUGGGAGUCCCCAGCUUCCCCAUUCCCAGGGGAGCUAACUCAGAGAGGCAUGCGCUUCAUCUUAACUUCUGAGUUUCCAGAAUUGUUCUCCAGCUCCCUGUGAUAAUCACUGGGUUGACAACAUAGGGUUUAUUAGUUGCAUUUUCUCUCUAAAUUCUCUGUUCCUUACUGGUAUUUUGUUAUUUCUCUCUCUCUCUCUCUCUCUCUCUCUCUCUCUCUCUCUCUCUCUCUUUGGUGCCAGGGAUCGAACUCACAACCUCAUACUUGCCAGGCAGGCACUUAGGCCACUGAAGUAAAUCCCCAGCCUUACUGGUGUUUUCUAGUACUACCUCUCAAAUGAACUGUUGUGUUUGAAUAAAUCCUUCAGAGUCAGUUCUUUAAGAAACACAGAUUAAGAGGUGGUUGAAAAGACUUCUAUCUUGAAGAAUAAGAUUAUCUCUCAAAGCCAAGAUUUAGGAGACUGAAGUGGUGAUACCCCUGUAAGCCUAGCAUUUGGAAGGCUGAGGCAGGAGGAUUGCUGUGAAUUCAAGGCCAGACUGGACUACAUAGUGAGUUCAAGGCCUGCCUGAACUACAUAGUGAGACCCUGUCUCAAAAAAACAAAACACAAAACAAGAAAGACCCAAAAACAACAGCAAAAGGGAGACUUAGGAUCAACAAAUUAUAGUUAUUAGGUAGUUAUAAUUUAACCUAUGGAAGAAUUCUAUAAAAAUCCAAGUUUCCUAAAAAUGGAAUGAGCUCCAUUGAGAAACAGUAAGCUCAAUAUCACAGUCAUAGGGCAUGUUUGUUUGUGUAGACUGAUUAACCACCAGGAGUGUGAUUGAUACAGAGCCUAAACUAAAUGACUUCCAAGGUCCCCUUUUUGGUUCCUAUCGAUGUGUUUGUGUGGUAGGACACUUCUGUAACUGGAGCAUCUUUGAACGACAGUUGAUUAAGACCACUAUUUGUUUCAACUUAAUUUCAUUUAUCAGAAUUUUAGAGUUUGUAAUUACCACCUGUGCACCUGUGUGUCUGAAGUUACAUGUUUUUUGGUAUCCUGACAUAUUGGAUUGAAUUUUAGCAUAUGAGACAUUUUGUUCUGACCAAGUGUGGUGAUUACAGAUAAAACUCAUGCAGAAGUGCCACUAAUGCAGCAUAAUUACUUGAAAAAAACAAGUUAUAAUAACAAUAAAGAAAUCAUAUGCAGAGAGCAAUUUGACAACACAAUUAUGUCACUACAUACACUGUAAGAGCAAUUACAAAAGUAUCCUAAUUUACUUUCUAUGUUUAUGGAUUUUAGGUUCAUUUUUAAUAUUUAGUGGAAACCCAAGCCAUAAACCAAAAGACAAUGACUAGUACUCUUCAGCUUUUAAAAAUGUAGACACAUUAAAUGAAGGAGGAGGAAAAAUGAUGGAAAUUAGAUAUGUAUAUUUACCAAUUCCCCAAUAUGCAGGUAAUUAUCAUGUAUUGCAAGUAUAUACUAAUAAGAAAUCUUAAAAAGAAAAAAAUGUGCAAUGUCUUUGGACUUCUCACUAGAAAUAUUCAUUUUUGUACCUAAUUUUGCAUUCAUAAUUUGCAUUAAUAAUGAGCUCUAUUUCUUUUACUUAACAGAACUCAUAUAUAAUUGGAAUCUAUUUCUGCCUGUUUCUUUUUGAUUCUGAGGUUCUGAGUCAUGAACUCUUUCUAAGAGCUGCAUGGCAACCAUGUUCUUUAGUUAUUUGAUUCAGAAUAUUUUGUAGAGUAGUAUAAUGAAAAGUAUGACCCGUUAGCUCAGAAGUGCAGAGAAAAUUCCUGGUCAUUCUUAAAAUACAAAGUCAAAGCUGGAUCGUCUCUCUGUCUCUCUUCAUAUCUUCAUUCCCAUGUCAGCCUGAAGAGGCAGUCAUUUGGAUGCCUACCUACACAUUCUACAAAGAGUUUAUAAAACUAAAUGAACUCUGUAAGCAUGUUUUACCAGUAAAAGUGAAGGUAAAUGGUUAAACUAUUCUUUUGAGCUUUCCAAGUUGUAAAGUACUAUCCCAAGCAUGCAACACAAUUGAUAAUACUAUAAAUACUUAUGAUGAUAUUAAUCUGAAGGGUCAGCAUGAGAACACUGAACAGAAAAAUAAAAUUAAAACUGUCCAGUUACAAAAUGGAUUAAAUAUUCCCUGAUUGCAAAGGCAUAAGAUUAUGUUGGUUUACGGGAUGAGUCAACACGCUGUAGCCCAUUAGUCACAUUUGCUCCUGCUUCAGUUUGCAAAUAAAGUGUUAUUAAAGCACAUACUGAUAUUUACUUACAUAUUGUCUACUAUCUAUGAUUGUUUCAUGGUUUCAUGUGUCCUACCACACAUGAAAUAUUUACCAUCUGGCCCUUACAUAGAAACCUUUCCAACCCUCAGGUUAGAGAAAAUAUUUGAACUGCACAAGUGUCUGGAAGUUUGUGGAUAUGUAAAGAGACAAAUUUUUUCCUAUUAAAAAAUACUGGUUGAGGUGCCAUUCUUUUAUUCCAAACAUCUGGCUGUAGAGAACAUUUAAUCAAAUUUAUUUUGUCUUCCUUGGAGCAUGCUUGGGACAUGUGCACCUCUGCUUCCAUUUCUGUUUCUGAGAUUCCAUUCUCCACAUCUUUGGCUGAAUGACAAGAAACCCAUUAGCUGGGCCACUGGCACCUCGGCCUUCUGAAGAUCUUAAACUCACUAAAGAGAUAAAAGUCUGCAACUAGAGGGAAGUUACUUAGUUCUUUUUAAAUCAAGAACUAGCUUCUUUUUGACAUCUUCACAGCAUAGCUUCACUGUAAACAAAGUUAGUGAUUUAUUCUUUAAGUGCCCACUGAAGCCACAAUGGAGUGGCUGGCCUGUGUCAGGUGUGAGGUUCAUAUUCAUUGUAAGGAAGAAUGAUCAUAUAUGAAGCAUGAAUAUAGAGGAUGCCUGGUAGGAAGGGGAGCUAUUAUGUUUAGAUUGCUAGCUGGUAUGUUAGUGCCAUGUUAAAUAACCUUGCCAUGAUUAGCCAUUGCUCUCAUAUCAGCUGUGCAGUCCUGGCCUCUCCAUCCUCCAGUACAGGGCUGCCAUGCUGCACAACUCAAGAACCUCUGGGGUACAGGCUGAUCCUCUGUGUCCAGUUCACUUGAGCCAGUAGUAGGAGUAUAGUUUUUGAGACACACUCUCUCAGAUAUGAUUCUCAACUUCAGAAUUUACUAGUUUAUUGGCUCUAUAAAAGUUCUCUAAUCUCAUCUCAUCUCAUCUUUAAAGAGAGAUUAUAGAUUAUGCUACUGUUUUUUUUAAAAAAAUCUGAAUUUUUUCAUUAGUACAUGUUUGCAGUAGAUAAUGACUACAAGAGUUGGUAUAUGAUACAUCUUAAUUCUUUUUAUCUCCUUCCCUUCCUCUAAUAUUGCAUUGUUAGAAGCAUUAAAGGAGCUAAGCUUAAGAAAAUGACAGAUGCUCAGUAAAUAUGCUUUUUGUGGUUGUGCCUGUGUUUAGCUGGUAUUUAUGUCACUGUAAAGUACUUUAGUAUGGAAUGAGUGCCAUUGUUACAAAUGAUGGUUGGGUAUUAGUUUCCUAAUGCUGCUGUAACAAAUGAGCACAAAUCAGGUUGCUUAAACAGCCAAAAUUAUGCACUGUUCGAGAGCCCUAUCAGGCCAAAAUCAAGGUGCUGGCAGGGCCGUGCUCUUUUCACAGGCCCUGGGAGAGGGUGCUUACUGCCUCUUCCUAGCUUCUGAAGGCUGCUCACAAUUCUUGGCUUACAGCCACAUCACUCCAGUGUCUGUCUCUGUCAUCACAUGGCCUUCUUUCCUGUGUCUCUGUCUAAAUUCUUCUCAAGGACUGUAGGCAUUGGAUGAGGGGACAAUCUAUGCAGUAAGACCUCAUCUUAACUUGACUGCAUUUGCAAAGACCCUAUUUUCCAAAUCAAGUCACAUUAUCAACUGAGAGUUGAAAAUUGAACUUAACUUUUUAGGGAACACAAUUCAACUUACAACAGUGACCACGAGCAUAUUUUGGGAUGGUGACGGGGAGGAUGUUCUUCUCUUAAGAAAUGCAGUAUAGAUAUUAGAAAAGUGAGCAUCUUUUAUCAGUUCCUUUAUCUGCAUCAUUUGUGAAAUGGAGAGAUUGGGCAAAAUGCUUGCAUAGAUCCCUCAGCCUUAAUUAACAUUUGAUGCUUUCAUGAAGUGCAUCAAAUGCCAGACUGGCGGAAGCUGAAUUCAUGAGGUCUUCCUGUGGCUGGAAACUAACGUAACAAGAGGCAGUACAGCACCUGACCUUCAGAGGUGGGGCUCAAGAUGGUGUGUUUGUUCUUGGAGCUCACCUGCUCCGUGUUCUGGUGAUAGCUUCCCCAAAGCAACCUCUGAAGGUGUGGCCCCUUUUCACUCAUCCCUGAAUCACUGACAUUAAAUUUUAUUUCUUUCAUUCCUGAAUCACUGACAUUAAAUUUUAUUUUUAUUUUUAUAAAGCCUGCCUCUAUUUUAGUAGAUUGCUUUAGGGUCUAAUUUCAUUUCAAUCACAGCUUUUGACAAUUUUUUUUUAAACAGGGUCUUGCUGUGUAGCCCAGGCUAUCCUCAAACUCACAAAAAUUCUGUCUCAGCCUUCCACGUGCUGGGAUCACAAGCGUGUGCUAACAUGCCCAAACCUUUGACAAUUUUUGAGCUCUGUUAACAGAAUAAAACAGUUUGCUGCUUUUGGUUUGUUUGUUUUGAAUAAGAAAGCUUGCACAGAGGGCUUUGGGCAAAUUUACGUUAAUCCCAGAUCUCUGGAGAUCAACACUUUCAGUGGGCCCAUCAGUAUCCAUUUGCUACACUGGCUAAAAAUGGGGGUAGAAGGCAGUCAUGGUGGUGCAGGCUUAUAAUUUGGGCCCUUGGGCAGCUGAGGAAGGACGACUGCCUGGAGUUCAAGGCUAGCCUGGGGGACACAGUGAGUCCAAGGCUAGUCUGAAGUACGUAGGAAGGCCCUGUCUCAAAAAACCAACAAAUAAAUAUCUGGUGGGAGUGGGAAAUCCUUUAGUCUAGCAAACACUUCACAAGUAAAAAUAUUUGUUUUGGGGGGUGGGGAUUUAGCUCAGCAGCAUAAGUGCCUGCCUUGCAAGCGCCUGGUUGUGAGUUCGAUCCCCAGUACUGAUUAAAAAAAAAUUUUUGUUUUAUACUUAUAGAGCAAUCAAAAAUAUUUCAUAGCCUGGAACAAGCAUUAGGCCCAAAGGCUUAGAAUCUCCCAAAGCUUUAUUAUUAAGUAACCUUUAAAUCUCAGUGCUCUUGGAUUCCUAGAAUUUGUAGUUUUUACUAUGAAUGAUGCCAUUACCUAAGAAAGAACCACUAGGAUUACAUCUUUGGUGGAGGUUAUAAUGACUACAGCACAAAGCUAUAGAUUUUUCUGUACACAUGUAUUAACACUAAAUUUGCAGAAUUGGUUAUGCACAUUUUGAAAAAUAACCAAAUUAAAAGCAUUUGCUGUGUUAAUAUUUCUAAUAGCUGUACUCUAUAUUAUAUAGCCUAAGAACUACAUUCUGCCUUUUUAUUUGUAAAUGUGGAUUAAUGUAAUUGUAACAGUCAAACUAGAAAUUUAGAAUUUUAACAGAAUACAAUAAAGUACUUUGGAACCCAAUAAUGAAUAAAACUCACAAAAGUUAUUAACUUGUUUUGUCAGGAAAGGGUUUGCAAAGGUAAAGUUCAGAACAUUUUCUACUAAUUUAACACUGACUAUAAAUUAGUGACAUCAGAAGUAAUGAGGUUUUAUUUGGAGUAUAACUUCAUUUUCUAAAAAUUUUAUUUGAUAUGUUUAUAUCUAGGAUGCCUACAAUAACUGAAAACGAUCACUCACUCUAACCAAAGGGAUCCCUGUGAGGACUGUAAUGUGAGGAGCAUGGUUUUCAAAGACAUGAUUACUCUUGUAUCAUUUGGAUUGUUGUAGGUUAUUUUCAUCCCAAGUCAUUAGUCAUGUAAUCAUAGGUACAAAACUUAGCAGGACAAAUUCUUAGAUGUGUUCAAAAUAUUGCCCAGUCCAGUCAGAAAAGAUUUGCCUUCUCUCAGAGUUUUUUCAUUCUUUUUUGUAAAUUCUUUUUCAAAGUAGGCAAGGUAUAUCAAAUAUAUAAAUAGACAAAUAAAUACAUCUCAUCUUUACUGUCUUAUAGUACCACUAGGGUUAAUCUUUCAAGGAGCUUCCCUACCCUCAAGAAUCAUGGUCAACUCUUGUAGUUCUUAUUUUCAAUUUUGAAACACUUUCUCAUAAGCUCUUUUCUUUAAGGGCUGGAGAUGAAGUGAAAUUAAUUUACAGUAUUUGCCUCCCUUCUGUAGCAUCUGCUCAGCCCUGUAAAGUUGAGUGCUAGGGGUCAUGUGUUAGAACGCUCCAUGAAAACUAAAAAUAUUUUCCAGUUUGUAAAUUGCUUUUUGUUUAUUUAAUUGUGCCUUUCAUGGAAUAUAUAUUCAACAUAUGCCUCCAGGGUCUUUUCUACAUUAGCAAUUCAAAAGCCACUGACCUAUAAUCAUAUUAAAAUUCCCAUUUUAUCUCCAGUUUACCCAUAAUAGGAUCCUCUUGCAUGACGUGGACAGAAGCCUUGUGAAUAGGUCAUCUUGCCUCUAUGAUAGUAGUGUUUUAUGGAGAAGCUAGCGAUGGUAAAAUCAAAUUGUAGACAUUUUAUUACUGUAAAUGCUGUCAUCACACAUUUGCAAAAUAUUCCAAGUUUCAUUACUGUUAUCUGUAAUGGUUGAUACAUUGUGUCAACUUGAGAGUUUAGAAGUUAAAUGAAGUGACUCAGCAGGGACUAGGGUCCUCACUUUGUAAAUAUCCUUAUUGGUGCAGGAGGAGAGUAAAGAGAUGGUGUGAGUGCGACACCGCCCUAGGGGGGUAGCCUGCUUACAAUAUAAGGCAGGAAAAGAGGCCUGUUCCUGUCACCCCUUUUUGCUCUUGCUGCUUUUUCUGUCUUCUGCCCCCUUGAACUGUUUCCCCUGUGCCAUGUCACCCUGCUUUGAAGCCAGCUGGUUAUGGACUGAAAACUUCACAAAUUGUGAGCUAAAUAAACCUUUUCUUCUUUAAUGUUUGGUGUUGAGUAUUUUGACGCAGCAACGAGAGAAAAGUAACCGAGACAGCAUCUAUUUCUUUCGUUCAAGAUUGCUGACUCUUCCAACACCUGAAAACAAACCCAGUUCGUAGUGAAAGAAUCUGUCCAGAUUGCUGACAGGUGACGAAUGAAUCCUGAAGGUCUCAAUGAUUCAAAUCCAGAGCCCUUUCCACGUAACCUAAGGGGGCAACACGCAUCACUUCAGCAGCUUGUCUUCCCCCAAAGCAGUUUAAGCUUGAGACAUGUCAAAUGUUUACUGAAGUUCGCUUCUCCAGCUAAACUUCGUCCUUAUUAGUGUUUGAGGUUAGUCUGUUGGCCAGUCUCCAAGUAGAGAACUGAAAGCGUGUGUUGAAAAUAACAAUGACGCUGUCUGCCAGGUUUUGAUUAUCCAAACAAGUUAUAAUGUCAUGUUAAUGACAGAAGUUUAUUAUUUGGUUUUAUUGAGAGGUUUUUUUUUUUUUUAAGAGAAAAAAGGGAAACAAAUUUAAAGCUGCAGCUAUAUAGGGUCAUUUGGUCAAUCGCUGGGUGGCUAUUUAGACUUUUCAACAAUAAUUACUGUUGAUUUCUGAACAGUUAUCUGGAUUACCAGGUGGCUAAGCCAAUUUAAUCAUUAUGAUCGCUGACCGGGUAGGUUAUGCAGCCCUACAUUUAUUUUGGCCCUGUUAGGACAAAUGAGGCUGUGCUUUAAGGACAGAUAACUAGUUUUUGUUUGUUCUGUUUUUUUGAGACAGUUUCUCACAUUGUAGUACAGGCUGGCCUUGAAUCCACUGUGUAGUCCAGGUUGUCCUUGAACUCAAGGAGAUCCUUUUGCUUUAGCUUUCUGAGGGCUGGGAUUACAAGAGUGCACCAGCACACCUGGCUGUUUGUAUGUUUGUUUGGUUUUUAACGUAAUAAACUCUGUGGAUACAAACAAGACAUGGAGGGGGUUUUUUUUGUGCUUUGCGUGUUUUUUUCCCUCAUGGCACUGUUGAUCUUUGUUUCUUGACCCAUGACAGCACCGUAGGUAGGUCUCAUUGUUUACCUGUGCCUUUCAGUUUUAAGAACAAAGCUACUUAGGUAGCUGUAACUUUCAGGACUUAAAAUGUCCCUUCGAUUCCAAAUCAGAGCUUGUCUCCUGUUCCAUCGAAAGCCCCUCCCUCCCAGCCUCCCCGGGGUUUAGAGACACAGUGGAAAGGCCGUCCUUUCUUUGUCUUCCAUCAGCUGCUGAAGACACUCUUCAGUCUCUUGCAAUUUUCUCCAAUUAUCUUUCUCACUGGUUAUAUUUCUUAAUAAGCUAAAGGUAGAUUUCAGGGAAUUUUCUUCUGUCAGUUUCAGCCCGGCAGCUGUCCUCAAAUCGUGUGCCACCAGGAAGAGUCUCACUAAACAUCUUUUUACAGCACGGGUAGA